CAGUAGCCACGGUAAAACGAAGGGGGCUAGCGUUGUUCGGAUUUACUGGGCGUAAAGCGCACGUAGGCGGAUCGACCAGUCAGGGGUGAAAUCCCAGAGCUCAACUCUGGAACUGCCUUUGAUACUGUCGAUCUGGAGUAUGGAAGAGGUGAGUGGAAUUCCGAGUGUAGAGGUGAAAUUCGUAGAUAUUCGGAGGAACACCAGUGGCGAAGGCGGCUCACUGGUCCAUUACUGACGCUGAGGUGCGAAAGCGUGGGGAGCAAACAGGAUUAGAUACCCCUGUAGUCCCUGUCUCUUAUAC
rnacentral:rRNA from 1 species